rnacentral:misc_RNA from 1 species
GAUGAAGAACGUAGCGAAAUGCGAUAAGUAAUGUGAAUUGCAGAAUUCAGUGAAUCAUCGAAUCUUUGAACGCACAUUGCGCCCGCCAGUAUUCUGGCGGGCAUGCCCGUUCGAGCGUCAUUUCAACCAUCAAGCCCCAGGCUUGUGUUGGGGACCUGCGGCUGCCGCAGGCCCUGAAAACCAGUGGCGGGCUCGCUGUCACACCGGGCGUAGUAGAUUUUAUCUCGCUCAGGGCGUGCUGCGGGUUCCGGCCGUUAAAAAGCCUUUUUUACCCAAGGUUGACCUCGGAUCAGGUAGGAAGACCCGCUGAACUUAAGCAUAUCAAUAAGCGGAGGA